AUGAGGCUGGUGACUGGAGUAACGGUGUUUCUGACCUUGGGGACUGUGAUUGAUGCUAAGACCACCCAGCCAAACUCCAUGGAUUGUGCUAAAGGAGAGGCUGUAAACCUGCCUUGUAACCACUCUACCAUCAGUGGAGAUGACUAUAUACAUUGGUAUCGGCAAAAUCCCAAUCAGAGUCCACAGUAUGUCAUUCAUGGCUUUCGAGACACAGUGAAUGGCAGCAUGGCCUCUCUGACCAUAGCUUCAGACAGAAAGUCCAGCACCCUGGUCCUGCCCCAGGUCACCCUGAGAGACGCCGCUGUGUACUACUGUGCCCUGAGAGAGGCUCCACUUAGCAUAAAUAAAUUACUUUUUCUAAGAAAAACCCCAAAUGUUUUUUCUUACUAG